UACUUUCACAGUAUUUAUAUAGGACUUAAGCCUGCUUUUUAAUUAAAAAACAUGAAAAUCUCACUUUUUUAUAAUAUGGGACCUUUAAGAAGCACUGAAGCCAAACAGACUGGGAAUUCUGUACCUAUAAUUGUUGUUGUUGUUGUUGUUGUGUAAUUAUAUUACAUUUGUUGUUACCGUUAACUUAGUUGUCAUGAAUAUACAUCAGUCAUCAGAAUAGUGCCUAUUCAAUCUUAAAAAAGUCUGUGCAUUUAAUACAUUAAAUAUGAUUCCAUUUGGGCCAGUUUCUAAUGAGCUAUGAAAUAUUUCCAAUACACUUGUUGUCCAUAAGCACUCCUGGGUCGGAAAGGCACAUACAACUUCCGAGGUUCACUGAAGGCAGCACAACAACCGCAGUUUGUGUUGGUUUCAGGAUUCAGGUCAGAGGUCUUCAAUCAGGGGCCUCAGAGAUGUGAACAAUGGGACGUACUGGACAACUGCCCUGCCCUUCUAUCUUGGUUGUAAAAGCGCCUUUUUCACAAGUCAAAACUUUUCUUUCACCCACAUGUUGCUGUUCCAUCUAUAGCCAGAGAAAGAAUGGAAAUAAAAUAAAACCAUUAAAAAGCA